UUUUCAUAUUUGGCGACUUUUUGUGAAGAACGGAGACUUUUGAGGGUGGUUCUAGAGAUUUUCUGAGGGAGGGGUUUGGCAACACUGCUGUGCUCGUUCUCAGAAUACAGACAGUUCUCCUGACCUGCUAAAACCAGCAGUUUUGGGGAGAAAAUCCUUCAUCUCGUUCAUUUUGGCCAAGGAUCCGCUUAAGAUCUGCAGCGACUGCUGACUGAAUGUGGAGGAAAGUUUCACUGGUUCAAUAACCAGAGAGAAUCAGACGAUCAGAUACGAGAACUACUGCAGAAGAUUGAAACAAUGAUGGAGGAGAACGGAGGGAAAUUUAAACACAUGAGGAGGAUACACAGCAUGGUCAGCAUUGUCAAUUUUUCAGCUGAAGAUCCAGAUGAGACUGAUGUGAUUCCUGAGAGCAAAGACCAGAUCAGGCCGGUUCUGCUGGGAGAAACUGGAUCUGGGCAAAGUGCCACUGGAAACAGAAAUCUGUUUGAAUCUUCAGCCGGUUCAAACUCUGAAACGAAACAGAGCCGCUCAGAAACCAAUGUCAGGAUGGGUAAAGAUAUCUGGUUUUAUUGA
rnacentral:lncRNA from 1 species